UGGUGUUGGCGGUGCUGCAAGUCAGGAUGAUCCCCUCACCCAUCAAGAGAAGUCAGUGUACACCGAAAGGCUUGAAAUCCGGAAACCUGGCAUCGAAAAUAUUGCAAAGUCCGAUCAAUUUCAAGCAUUUUUGGAGGAAACUGCACAUGGAAAAAACAUCAAAGUGGCGCCAUGUCAUGUCAACGAAGAACAGGGGCGGAUCAUCAUUAAGCAGGGCACGCUUGAGGCUUUAGAGUUUAAGGUGGAUGUGCUAGUGUGUCCAGUCUCCAAAACGUUGGACCUGAGUAAUGGCGUGGUGGCAAAGGCUCUGUCUGAAGCUGCUGGAACAGCUUCAUGUGGGAGGAAAGCCCGAACUGAUGCGAGUCUCAGACGUUUACCACUUCGGUGAA